CAGCAGCCGCGGUAAUACGAAGGGUGCAAGCGUUACUCGGAAUUACUGGGCGUAAAGCGUGCGUAGGUGGUGGUUUAAGUCCGUUGUGAAAGCCCUGGGCUCAACCUGGGAAUUGCAGUGGAUACUGGGUCACUAGAGUGUGGUAGAGGAUAGUGGAAUUUCCGGUGUAGCAGUGAAAUGCGUAGAGAUCGGAAGGAACAUCUGUGGCGAAGGCGACUAUCUGGGCCAACACUGACACUGAGGCACGAAAGCGUGGGGAGCAAACAGGAUUAGAUACCCGAGUAGUCCCUGUCUUUAUACA
rnacentral:rRNA from 1 species